GAAACAGGCAAAAGUUAGCUUGUUGUCAACAACCUUGUUUUGGGAUAUCAUUCCUUAUUUGAACAUAAUAAAAAUAAUGGAAUGUUUUUAAUAAAUUAACACUGCACGAUGAACUACUCAAGCUAAACUACAGGGGGUGGGGACCGAGAUGUCUUCACUCAGAAAGUGACAUCAUGUUAAUAAUUUACAAGUCAGUCUCCUCCAUAAGUUUUAUCUGGUUUUAUUAACUCCAUCAUGGCAGACGGAAAUGACUCUGCAAUGGACGACGAUAAAGUACCCGUAAAGGUAAGUUGGAGUUAUCCUGUUCUUGCUCAUAAAGCAAAGAAUUUGUUAUUGUUCCAUGAUCCUUGCUGCUGCUUGGUCUAUUUUAAUAAAGCUCAACUAUAUAUAUACCUUCAUUUAAAUAUGAAUUUCCUUUUGCCUCCCAGCGACCCGGCUUUUUUUAAAGUUUAAUAUAUUAAAUUUGGUCAUUUCGGUGUUUGUCAGACAAUGAAAUUGUAGGCUCAGAAUUGCUGCAUGUGCUAUGAUAUUUCUAAAAUACUAUAAACACUGUUGGACGAUUGUUUUGUCGUGCAUAUCAUACGAAUGAAAAUUAUAUAUUGUAUUUGUAAACAUAACAGGAAUACAAUACGGUUAUCUCAGAGCUGAACAACAAUGUAUUUAAUAUAUUCGUACUCUACAGUACCGUAAACUCUAAACAAUUGCAUCCAAGCGGCAAAAAAUCAAAGUUGUAGCCUUCCAAAUAUCAUAUUUUAUUCUGCGGUUUCAAUGUAUGAAAAUUGCAAAAUUUUAAUCGCAUGAUCGGACAGAGAGAAUUUAUACUCACGACACAAAUCCAUGCAAAUAUUCGAAUGAAACAUGAAGCAAUAUAUGUGCACUCGAUUAAUUGUAUGAAAUGUGAGAGUUUGGAGUAUUCUCGCUCAAUUGUUGAAUACGUGCACACUGCACAAAACAAAGUCGGAGUUCGAAUUUUUCAUUAAAUAUUAAUUGCCUUUAUGGAUCAACGUUUGACUUGAAACAAGAUAUAGGAAGGAUUUAUUACAAGAUAAUGUUUUGAUCCUUGCCGAAAAUAUUGUAUUGAGGUUGUUCUAACCUUUAAAAUUAGAACUAUUUUUGUAUAGUACAUGUAUCAAAUUAUUCCUGCAGUACUAACAGAAUAUUUUUAUGAAUAUCACAAGUUGUUUUGAUAAUUUGGAUUGCCUCUGGUUAAUAAUUAAUGAAGUAUGAUCAUACAUUUCAGCUCUUUUAUAUAAUACUGUAGUGCCUUUGUUUGUAUUGAGUGCAUAUUAGGAGGAAUGUAUUUCAAGGACCUUCUAACUCUAAUAAUUUUGCUUCAUUUUCUGAAGUGUUCUAAUACACACUGUAUGUCAUUCCUGUUGCAUGUCAUUCCUGAGAAUUGUAAUCUUUUUGUUCCUAAUUUCUGCUCAUAAUCUUGCAACAUAAAUUGGCACUUUUUCUAUUGUACCGUAAUUUAAAGUCUUCGCUUACUGGGAUGUUUCGCCUAUCAGGACAAAUAUUUAUGUGUGUUCAUACUAAGUAGGAGUUUUUCAUCACACUUGCAGAGAUGAAAUUACAAUUUUAGUUCUAUAUAUUACUGCUGGCAACAUUUGCACAUUUCAGCUAGGUCAUGAAAACACAAAUUUUUUAAUGAAUUUUGUGAUUUUCUUCAUUUUUUGCAAGAAAACAUUGAUUUAGUGAUUACUGUUUCAGUCUGAUAGAGUGAGUUGUCCCCCGGCUAGCUGAGUUGGCCCAGCUAUAAAGCGAGUUGACUGAUUGCCUGUACAUGUACUGAAAAUGCUCAACAGUAGAAUAUAAUAAUCCCUUAUAAUUAUUGUUGUUAGGAACCGAUUAAAGAUGGUUUAUAUGUUGUAUUUUAGGGCUUCCUCACACAUAGAAUGAUGUUGAUUGCAGUAAUUAUAUUUAGUAUUGCAGACAUUCCAACCACUGGAGGUUAAAUUUAGGGAGACUGUUCAGUGAAUUGAAAUCUAGUUCUUCUGGGAGAAAAUAAUAAAAAUUAAGUCUUCUGAAACUGGCAUUUCCUGCAUUUUGGGACUAAAAAAAUUGUUGUUAUAAGUGAUCCUAUAAAUUGCCAUAAAGCAACUUCAAAAAAGGUUAAGACAGACUAUUAUGUGGCUAAAAACAGCAUAUUUAUAAUUUUUUAUGAUAUUUCCUGAAUAUUCUGAAAAAUCGGGAGAAUUUGAUAAAAAUCGGGAUACCGGGAGAUUGCAUGAAUUUUCGGGAGACUCCCGGUAAAAUCAGGAGAGUUGGAAUGUCUGGUAUUGACCCGGCCUAGCCUCCUCCGCAGCCAUCUUGUGGUACUUACUUCGGAUUUUUCGAAUUGUGUCUGAAUAUAAAAUGUCAUACCCUAUGGGAGUAGGGGUAACACAGCUUUUGACAUUUUGUAGUAGUUUUGAUCUGAACAAAUUAAUCCUGUGGGGGUGGGGGUAAGGGACACACAUUCGAAAAAAAUUGGGGGGGGGUGUCCUAUGUUCUGGGACCGACUUUUGUAGUAUUUGUGUUUGGUAAGAAAAGCCAACUAUUUAAAGCGCAUACUAGACGGUAAGACGGGGAUAGUAUUCCAAGAGUUUAAACAAACGUUCAGUUUUAACUGUGGUUUUUCAGAACUUUUGCAGUGGUCUAAACUUUCGGAGGGGGGGUAUUUUAUGGAUUUCGAAUGCAAGCGCCGUAGGCGUGAGGAAAAUUUUGAAUUUCUAGAUUCAUUAGAACGCUAUUUCACGUAUUUUAGGACGAGGUUUGAAGAAAAGUUACAACCACAAAAAGGCAUUUUUAAGUCACCUAAUGUUCAUGUUUAUAGAUCCAAAAAUAUUUAUGUAAAACAUAGUAUUGUACACGCAAAUACAACAGCAAAAUUUCAUCAUGUCUUCGUUUUCGUAGAAGUCGGUCAUGAGUGUUGCUUUGAGCGCAAAUUCGAGUUCAAAUGUGCUUUAAAGCAACCAUGGGCGUUUUUUACUGGAGUUAGGAUUCUAGGUAGGGAAGACUUCAACUUUUAUUGGCAAACAGAAGAGAUGGGUAUCAUUAUUCACACAUCAUACCCCCACCCGAAUUUCUGCCCGGAUUUCAGCUUUCCACAAGGGCAGUCCUUAUGCCCAUUGUAGAGCCCCCCGAACCCCCAUCUUGGCUACGCCAUUGAUUUACUUCUGCCUUCCAAAGUUUCAGCUUUUACGACAAGACUAACAAUGCACAUUUUAACUGCACCGCGGGUUAAUCAGAUCACAUUACGUUUGUUGAACUGUUGCAACGCGGAAGUUGAUUAUUUGCUCUCUUGGUUUGUGUCAGUGAACUCUAAUUUGUGUAUGACUAAUUCGUUUUUCUUUGUCUAAUUCGUUUUUCUUAUGUUUAUGCAACUUCCAUUUCCAGAAUGUCCACCUAUUAGUGCUAUUACUUUUUCGACGAUACAAAAUGAUAACCGAUUUGAUAACCGAUUUGGGACCGACUUUUUAGAUAUAUUUCACAAAACAUGGGGGUGUCACCCCCCCCCCCAAUGUGUGCCCCUGGGGGGUAACAUAGUCAGUCCACAAGGGUUACAUAGCUGGUCCGAAGUCUUCGGGUUUUGGCAGGCAUCGCCGCUAUUAAUUUUUUUGCUUGCAAGCAAAUUUUGCCUGAUAAUCUGAUGCUAGUUUGAGUGUUUAAAAAUUAAAACUUAUAUUUGUUUAAUACACUUUCAAAAUUAUAAAAACCAUGCAUGUGUGCAUGACUAUUUUUUAGCUGGGACAACUCGGCAAAGGUCCCAGCUAG
rnacentral:lncRNA from 1 species